rnacentral:rRNA from 1 species
CAAUAGCGUAUAUUAAAGUUGUUGCGGUUAAAAAGCUCGUAGUUGGAUUUCUGCUGAGGAUGACCGGUCUGCCCUCUGGGUGAGUAUCUGGCUCUUCCUUGGCAUCUUCUUGGAGAAUGCUACUGCACUUCAUUGUGUGGUGUGGUAUCCAUGGCUUUUACUUUGAGGAAAUUAGAGUGUUCCAGGCAGGCAUGUGCUGUGAAUACUGUAGCAUGGAAUAAUAAGAUAGGGCACUGGCUUUAUUUUGUUGGUUUCUAGAGCUGGGGUAAUGGUUAAUAGGGAUAGUUGGGGGCAUUUGUAUUUAACUGUCAGAGGUGAAAUUCUUGGAUUUGUUAAAGACAGACUACUGCGAAAGCAUUUGCCAAGGAUGUUUUCAUUGAUCAAGACGAAAGUUAGGGGAUCGAAGAUGAUUACGAGUACUACUACUCGUAGAACGUACGUCGAA